AGCGUUGAGGCAGGUGCGUAGUGAAGUACGCGCACCAUAAUGCUGGGGCGUGAUGGGGACAGAAAACAAGUAUGGAAGCUGCUGAAUUCACACUGGCGAGAAAAGCUGCUAGGGAGCAAAAGGGUGCCUGUACCGCAAACCGACGCAGGUGGGCGAGGAGAGAAUCCUGAGACGACGGGAGAACCCUUGUUAAGGAACUCGGCAAAAUGACCCCGUAACUUCGGGAUAAGGGGUGCCUCGAGAGAGGCCGCAGAGAAUAGCCCAAGCGACUGUUUAGCAAAAACACAGGUAUCUGCGAAAGCGAGAGCUGACGUAUAGGUGCUGACACCUGCCCGGUGCUGGAAGGUUAAGGGAACAUGUUAGAGCAAUCGAAGCAUCGAACCGAAGCCCCAGUAAACGGCGGCCGUAACUAUAACGGUCCUAAGGUAGCGAAAUUCCUUGUCGGGUAAGUUCCGACCCGCACGAAUGGUGUAACGACUUGUGAGCUGUCUCAACAGGGGGCCCGGUGAAAUUGAAGUAUGGGUGAAGAUGCCCAUUACCCGCGACUGGACGGAAAGACCCCGUAGAGCUUUACUGCAGCCUGAUAUUGAGUUUCGGUAACUGAUGCACAGGAUAG
rnacentral:rRNA from 1 species